GGGAUGAGAGAUGCCGCUGGUCAACCCAUUUGGACUCCGACUUCAUUUUCCAACCUUCCCGAUCCUACCGAUGUAACUAGAGAUGAAUCAAUGGAACCCACAGUUCCAGCUGGCGGAGUCAUUGUCAUUCUAGCCUAUGGGGUUGUAUGCUCAGUCGAGUGAAAGCUUAGACAGACCAACUCACUUCAACUAUGUGACUCCGAACCUGGUACAAUCGAUACCGCAAAU
rnacentral:lncRNA from 1 species